GCGGGUGUGGUUUAAUGGUAGAACCCGACUUUUCCAAAGUCGUGACGGCGGUUCGAUUCCGCUCACCCGCU
rnacentral:tRNA from 1 species